CCGUUACUUCUUCGACCUCCCUAGCUGGGGUAAAGGAGGCGUGACCAAAAGCGGAAGUACGGAGAGAGAGAGAGAGCCGGACGCCGAGUGUCGGUUCCGCGAUGUAGGGCGGCCCUAUCGAGCUUACCGGGCGCCGCUCGACUUUAGACCCCUUUCACCUUUUUGGCUGUCUUAUUUGGAUGGCUGUAGAGAUACCAGGGACUGGUUUCUCCGGUUCAAGGCACCCUCCCGAGGUCGCACGGCCGAUUGGCGUGGGGAAUGGGAAUUCCCAAGUAAAAGCCCUCAACCCGCACGGGAAUUUCUGCUGGGAAUUUCUCACUGGCCAGAAAACCCAUUUAAAUUCUGGCAGAGGAGAUCUGAGACCAAGUGUAGGAUAGUUUGUCUGUUGGCGUCGUCCCAGCCAGAGUUAUGGGAUGAGAAUUACAGAGUCUGGAAUAAGUUAAGACCCACAAUUCCUGGGACUUUGCAGUCCCUUUCUGCCCUCUCCUCUGGCUCACCUACUGGUACCCAGUUGGCUUGAGAGUUGCCCAGCUACUAUGUCGGUAAAGGAUCUCUUGAAAUCGGUAACAGAUCUUACAUUACUUGAAAGAAUGGCAGGAAUCGUUGCGGAUAACAAGCACGAGAUCCGGUUUCCAGUCCCAGGUCUGGGAAUUACUACCUCGGUGGCUCUUCUCAGCUUCGGUUUCCUCAUAAAGCCAUCUGUAAAAUGAAAGGAAUAAUACCUACUUCACAACUGUGUUUGGAAGAUGCUGCAGGAUUUAUUAAUAAAAUCCUAAUAAGCAGUAA